GACGAACGCUGGCGGCGUGCUUAACACAUGCAAGUCGAACGGAAAGGCCUUUUCGGAGGUACUCGAGUGGCGAACGGGUGAGUAACACGUGGGUGAUCUGCCCUGCACUCUGGGAUAAGCCUGGGAAACUGGGUCUAAUACCGGAUAGGACCGCACUUUAGUGUGUGUGGUGGAAAGUUUUUUCGGUGUAGGAUGAGCCCGCGGCCUAUCAGCUUGUUGGUGGGGUAAUGGCCUACCAAGGCGGCGACGGGUAGCCGGACUGAGAGGUUGGUCGGCCACAUUGGGACUGAGAUACGGCCCAGACUCCUACGGGAGGCAGCAGUGGGGAAUAUUGCACAAUGGGCGCAAGCCUGAUGCAGCGACGCCGCGUGGGGGAUGACGGCCUUCGGGUUGUAAACUCCUUUCGCCAGGGACGAAGCGUUUUGUGACGGUACCUGGAGAAGAGGCACCGGCUAACUACGUG
rnacentral:rRNA from 1 species